GAAGUUCCCUUUUGGGGAGUUAGCCUUCCAGCCCCUGUGCAAAGCGCAGCUGAAAACAAAAGCCGUAGACACCCAUGAAGGAAACACAUUGAAAAGCUUCCUAUGAACGGAGACGCAGCACCGCAUCAGAGCAGCGCGCCCAUCUCAAGAUCCACACCCACGAGAGAAGAGCCGCGCUGCUUCUGUAGAGCUUGCUGGGAAGACCCCCCAGGACGCCUGGCCAGUAAAGAGUGGCCAGCACUAACCUGCUUAGCUAACUUGAUUUAGCAAACAAAAAAUACAGAUGCCUAGUUAAGUCUAACCUUCACAAAAACAAGGAAUUUUUGUGUAAGUCUUCCACGUAGCAUCUGGGCCAUAUAUACAGUAAGUCUGUGUAAUCCAACAUAAGCCAGUCCUUGCCCUCCUCCUCACUGCUCAUCAUCGCCUCCAAAAACGUAUAGCAGAUUGUAUAGCAGAUGUAUAAGUUCUCUCUUACAAGCAAAUAAAGUGCCAGCUUACUGUUCAGGAUGAUCUAACCCUUGGACUAGCAGGCUGAUCAUGAAAAAAAUGAAAGGGAGUGAUUUACAUAUAUGCAAAUCAGAGGCCAGGCUAGCC
rnacentral:lncRNA from 1 species